AUGAAAGCCAAAGUAGAGGCACCUAGCUGUUAAUUAGGAGAAUGUAGGAGUCUACUCAUUUAAUAUGGUAAAAUAG
rnacentral:tRNA from 1 species